rnacentral:tRNA from 1 species
GCCAAGGUGGUGGAAUAGGUAGACACGCAAGACUUAAAAUCUUGUGGACGAUUUUGUCCGUGCGGGUUCGAGUCCCGCCCUUGGUA